CGAAUGGUAGAGAGAAGCUUGCUUCUCUUGAGAGCGGCGGACGGGUGAGUAAUGCCUAGGAAUCUGCCUGGUAGUGGGGGAUAACGUUCGGAAACGGACGCUAAUACCGCAUACGUCCUACGGGAGAAAGCAGGGGACCUUCGGGCCUUGCGCUAUCAGAUGAGCCUAGGUCGGAUUAGCUAGUUGGUGGGGUAAUGGCUCACCAAGGCGACGAUCCGUAACUGGUCUGAGAGGAUGAUCAGUCACACUGGAACUGAGACACGGUCCAGACUCCUACGGGAGGCAGCAGUGGGGAAUAUUGGACAAUGGGCGAAAGCCUGAUCCAGCCAUGCCGCGUGUGUGAAGAAGGUCUUCGGAUUGUAAAGCACUUUAAGUUGGGAGGAAGGGUUGUAGAUUAAUACUCUGCAAUUUUGACGUUACCGACAGAAUAAGCACCGGCUAACUCUGUGCCAGCAGCCGCGGUAAUACAGAGGGUGCAAGCGUUAAUCGGAAUUACUGGGCGUAAAGCGCGCGUAGGUGGUUAGUUAAGUUGGAUGUGAAAUCCCCGGGCUCAACCUGGGAACUGCAUUCAAAACUGACUGACUAGAGUAUGGUAGAGGGUGGUGGAAUUUCCUGUGUAGCGGUGAAAUGCGUAGAUAUAGGAAGGAACACCAGUGGCGAAAGCGACCACCUGGACUGAUACUGACACUGAGGUGCGAAAGCGUGGGGAGCAAACAGGAUUAGAUACCCUGGUAGUCCACGCCGUAAACGAUGUCAACUAGCCGUUGGGAGCCUUGAGCUCUUAGUGGCGCAGCUAACGCAUUAAGUUGACCGCCUGGGGGAGUACGGCCGCAAGGUUAAAACUCAAAUGAAUUGACGGGGGCCCGCACAAGCGGUGGAGCAUGUGAUUUAAUUCGAAGCAACGCGAAGAACCUUACCAGGCCUUGACAUCCAAUGAACUUUCUAGAGAAUAGAUUGGUGCCUUCGGGAACAU
rnacentral:rRNA from 1 species